rnacentral:rRNA from 1 species
UUCUUUUUCACCGGAGCUUGCUCCACCGGAAAAAGAAGAGUGGCGAACGGGUGAGUAACACGUGGGUAACCUGCCCAUCAGAAGGGGAUAACACUUGGAAACAGGUGCUAAUACCGUAUAACAAUCGAAACCGCAUGGUUUUGAUUUGAAAGGCGCUUUCGGGUGUCGCUGAUGGAUGGACCCGCGGUGCAUUAGCUAGUUGGUGAGGUAACGGCUCACCAAGGCCACGAUGCAUAGCCGACCUGAGAGGGUGAUCGGCCACAUUGGGACUGAGACACGGCCCAAACUCCUACGGGAGGCAGCAGUAGGGAAUCUUCGGCAAUGGACGAAAGUCUGACCGAGCAACGCCGCGUGAGUGAAGAAGGUUUUCGGAUCGUAAAACUCUGUUGUUAGAGAAGAACAAGGAUGAGAGUAACUGUUCAUCCCUUGACGGUAUCUAACCAGAAAGCCACGGCUAACUACGUGCCAGCAGCCGCGGUAAUACGUAGGUGGCAAGCGUUGUCCGGAUUUAUUGGGCGUAAAGCGAGCGCAGGCGGUUUCUUAAGUCUGAUGUGAAAGCCCCCGGCUCAACCGGGGAGGGUCAUUGGAAACUGGGAGACUUGAGUGCAGAAGAGGAGAGUGGAAUUCCAUGUGUAGCGGUGAAAUGCGUAGAUAUAUGGAGGAACACCAGUGGCGAAGGCGGCUCUCUGGUCUGUAACUGACGCUGAGGCUCGAAAGCGUGGGGAGCAAACAGGAUUAGAUACCCUGGUAGUCCACGCCGUAAACGAUGAGUGCUAAGUGUUGGAGGGUUUCCGCCCUUCAGUGCUGCAGCUAACGCAUUAAGCACUCCGCCUGGGGAGUACGACCGCAAGGUUGAAACUCAAAGGAAUUGACGGGGGCCCGCACAAGCGGUGGAGCAUGUGGUUUAAUUCGAAGCAACGCGAAGAACCUUACCAGGUCUUGACAUCCUUUGACCACUCUAGAGAUAGAGCUUCCCCUUCGGGGGCAAAGUGACAGGUGGUGCAUGGUUGUCGUCAGCUCGUGUCGUGAGAUGUUGGGUUAAGUCCCGCAACGAGCGCAACCCUUAUUGUUAGUUGCCAUCAUUUAGUUGGGCACUCUAGCAAGACUGCCGGUGACAAACCGGAGGAAGGUGGGGAUGACGUCAAAUCAUCAUGCCCCUUAUGACCUGGGCUACACACGUGCUACAAUGGGAAGUACAACGAGUCGCGAAGUCGCGAGGCUAAGCUAAUCUCUUAAAGCUUCUCUCAGUUCGGAUUGUAGGCUGCAACUCGCCUACAUGAAGCCGGAAUCGCUAGUAAUCGCGGAUCAGCACGCCGCGGUGAAUACGUUCCCGGGCCUUGUACACACCGCCCGUCACACCACGAGAGUUUGUAACACCCGAAGUC